UAAAAGGCAUUUCUGAGUAUAUGAAGAGGAUCUGGAUCAGAAUGAAUUUCAGAAGACAGAACAGAGCUCAAAUGCGACAAGAAAAGCUCUGCAGGGUCCCAGUGUAAUAACCAACUGAAGAAUAAAAAGCAGGGAUGGAUGGUGCCCUAAAGCUGAAAAUCUAGUGAUCAGGGAAAAAA